CCCCUAGAUGUUCUGGGCCGCACGCGCGCUACACUGAACAGUUCAACAAGUCUUAACCUUGGCCGAUAGGUCUGGGUAAUCUUUGAACGCUGUUCGUGAUUGGGAUAGACCUUUGCAAUUAUGGGUCUUCAACGAGGAAUUCCUAGUAAACGCAAGUCAUCAGCUUGCAUGGAUUACGUCCCUGCCCUUUGUACACACCGCCCGUCGCACCUACCGAUUGAAUGGUCCGGUGAAAUCUCGGGACGGCGGCUUGGUCGCUUGCGUCCGACUGCUGAAACUUGAUUAAACCAUAUCAUUUAGAGGAAGGUGAAGUCGUAACA
rnacentral:rRNA from 1 species